GACUGAAUUUCCUCAACAAAAAUUUUAAUGAAAUAAACAUUCUCAUGCUCAUUCAUUAUUGUUUUUUUAUAACACUGUCAGACUCCAGCAGAGACUGCACCACUCAUUCUUCUUUGGAACGAGCUGAGCCUCAAGUGCCACCAUGAGCACAGACGCGGAGAUGGAGGCCUAUGGCCCAGCGGCCAUCUACCUCCGGAAGACAGAGAAGGAGAGGAUUGAAGCCCAGACUGCUCCAUUUGAUGCCAAAACAGCUUACUUUGUGGUUGAUCCUGAUGAGAUGUAUGUCAAGGGUAAACUAACCAAGAAAGAGGGUGGCAAAGCCACAGUUGAGGGAGAUAAUGGAAAGAGUUACACCGUAAAAGAGGAUGACAUCCAUCCAAGGAAUCCUCCAAAGUUUGACAAAAUUGAGGACAUGGCCAUGAUGACCCACCUCAAUGAGCCUUGUGUGUUGUAUAACCUCAAAGAGCGUUAUGCAUCAUGGAUGAUCUAUACCUACUCUGGGUUGUUCUGCGUUGUCGUGAACCCCUACAAGUGGCUUCCUGUGUAUGAUGCUGUAGUUGUGGCAGGAUACAGAGGCAAGAAGAGGAUUGAGGCACCACCCCACAUCUUCUCCAUCUCUGACAAUGCCUAUCAGUUCAUGCUCACAGAUCGUGAGAACCAGUCCGUCCUGAUUACUGGAGAAUCUGGUGCAGGAAAGACUGUCAACACCAAGCGUGUCAUCCAGUACUUCGCAACAAUUGCAGCACUUGGAGCUAAGAAGGCUGAGCCAACACCUGGCAAGAUGCAGGGCUCCCUUGAGGACCAAAUCGUUGCAGCCAACCCUCUGCUGGAGGCCUAUGGUAAUGCCAAGACUGUGAGGAAUGACAACUCCUCUCGUUUUGGUAAAUUCAUCAGAAUUCAUUUCGGAACCUCUGGCAAACUGGCCUCAGCAGAUAUUGAAACAUAUCUGCUGGAGAAGUCACGUGUCACCUUCCAGUUGUCUGCUGAGAGGAGCUACCAUAUCUUCUAUCAGCUGAUGACUGGCCACAAGCCUGAGCUCCUGGAGGCUCUUCUGAUCACCACCAACCCCUAUGACUACCCAAUGAUCAGUCAGGGUGAAAUCACUGUCAAAAGCAUCAAUGAUGUGGAGGAGUUCAUUGCAACAGAUACCGCCAUUGACAUUUUGGGCUUCAGUGCUGAGGAGAAAAUUGGCAUCUACAAGCUGACAGGUGCUGUAAUGCAUCAUGGCAACAUGAAAUUCAAGCAGAAGCAGCGUGAGGAGCAGGCUGAACCUGAUGGCACUGAGGUGGCUGACAAAAUCGCCUACCUCUUGGGCCUGAACUCAGCUGAUAUGCUGAAAGCUCUGUGCUACCCAAGAGUCAAAGUCGGAAAUGAGAUGGUGACCAAAGGUCAGACCGUCCCACAGGUCAACAACGCAGUCAGUGCUCUGUGCAAGUCGAUCUAUGAGAAAAUGUUCUUGUGGAUGGUUGUCCGUAUCAAUGAGAUGCUGGACACAAAGCAGCCAAGAUCGUUCUUCAUUGGAGUGCUGGACAUUGCUGGAUUUGAGAUCUUUGAUUUCAACAGCUUGGAGCAACUCUGCAUCAACUUCACUAAUGAGAAACUGCAACAGUUUUUCAACCACCACAUGUUUGUCCUGGAGCAAGAGGAGUACAAGAAAGAAGGCAUUGAAUGGGAGUUCAUUGACUUCGGUAUGGACUUGGCUGCCUGCAUUGAGCUGAUUGAGAAGCCAAUGGGCAUCUUCUCCAUCCUUGAAGAGGAGUGCAUGUUCCCCAAGGCCUCUGACACAACUUUCAAGAACAAGCUGCAUGACCAGCAUCUUGGCAAGACCAAGGCCUUUGAAAAGCCAAAGCCUGCAAAGGGCAAGGCAGAGGCUCACUUCUCCCUGGUUCACUAUGCUGGUACAGUGGAUUACAAUAUCAAUGGCUGGCUGGACAAGAACAAGGACCCCCUGAAUGACUCAGUUGUUCAGCUCUACCAGAAAGCUUCAAACAAACUGCUGGCCUUCCUGUAUGUAGCCCAUGCUGGGGCUGAGGAGGCUAGUGGCGGUGGCAAGAAGGGUGGUAAGAAGAAGGGUGGUUCCUUCCAGACCGUCUCUGCUCUUUUCAGAGAGAACUUGGGCAAGCUGAUGACCAACUUGAGAAGCACUCAUCCUCACUUUGUGCGCUGCCUGAUUCCCAAUGAAUCAAAGACCCCAGGUCUUAUGGAGAACUUCUUGGUCAUCCACCAGCUGAGAUGUAACGGUGUGCUGGAGGGCAUCAGAAUCUGCAGAAAGGGCUUCCCCAGCAGAAUCCUCUAUGGUGACUUCAAGCAGAGAUACAAAGUAUUGAAUGCCAGUGUCAUCCCUGAGGGACAGUUCAUUGACAACAAGAAAGCUUCAGAGAAGCUGCUGGGCUCCAUUGAUGUGGACCACACUCAGUACAAGUUUGGCCACACAAAGGUGUUCUUCAAAGCUGGUCUGUUGGGUACCCUGGAGGAGAUGAGAGAUGAGAAACUGGCUGAGCUGGUGACCAUGACUCAGGCUCUCUGCAGAGGAUAUGUCAUGAGGAAGGAGUUUGUUAAGAUGAUGGAGAGGAGGGAAUCCAUCUAUUCCAUCCAGUACAACAUCCGUUCAUUCAUGAAUGUGAAAAAUUGGCCAUGGCUGAAACUGUACUUCAAGAUCAAGCCUCUUCUGAAGAGUGCUGAGACUGAGAAGGAGCUGCAACAGAUGAAGGACAACUAUGAUAAGAUGGUGUCAGACCUGGCUACUGCCCUGGCCAAGAAGAAGGAACUGGAGGAAAAGAUGGUUUCCCUGCUGCAGGAAAAGAAUGACCUGCAACUGCAAGUGGCUGCGGAAGUUGAGAAUCUCUCUGAUGCAGAGGAAAGGUGUGAAGGUCUCAUUAAGAGCAAGAUCCAGAUGGAGGCCAAACUCAAAGAGACAUCUGAGAGACUGGAGGAUGAAGAGGAAAUCAAUGCUGAGCUGACUGCCAAGAAGAGGAAGUUGGAGGACGAAUGCUCUGAGCUGAAGAAGGAUAUUGAUGACUUGGAGCUCACCCUGGCUAAAGUGGAGAAAGAGAAACAUGCCACAGAAAACAAGGUGAAAAACCUGACAGAAGAAAUGGCAUCUCAAGAUGAGUCCAUUGCCAAGUUAACUAAAGAGAAGAAAGCCCUCCAAGAGGCCCACCAGCAAACACUGGAUGAUCUCCAGGCAGAGGAAGACAAAGUCAACACUCUGACCAAGGCCAAGACAAAGCUGGAACAGCAAGUGGAUGAUCUCGAGGGAUCACUGGAGCAAGAGAAGAAGCUCCGCAUGGACCUUGAGAGAGCAAAGAGGAAGCUUGAGGGAGAUCUGAAACUGGCCCAGGAAUCCAUAAUGGACCUGGAGAAUGACAAGCAGCAAUCUGACGAGAAAAUCAAGAAGAAAGACUUUGAGAUAAGCCAGCUCCUCAGCAAGAUUGAAGAUGAACAGUCCCUUGGCGCUCAGCUUCAGAAGAAGAUCAAAGAACUCCAGGCUCGCAUUGAGGAGCUGGAAGAAGAGAUUGAGGCUGAGAGGGCUGCUCGGGCUAAAGUUGAGAAGCAGAGGGCUGACCUCUCCAGGGAGCUUGAGGAGAUCAGUGAGAGGCUCGAGGAAGCUGGUGGAGCAACAGCUGCUCAGAUUGAGAUGAACAAGAAGCGUGAGGCUGAGUUCCAGAAGCUGCGUCGUGACCUUGAGGAGUCAACCCUGCAGCAUGAAUCUACUGCAGCAGCUCUUCGCAAGAAGCAGGCUGACAGUGUUGCAGAGUUGGGAGAGCAGAUCGACAACCUCCAGCGUGUCAAGCAGAAGCUGGAGAAGGAGAAGAGCGAGUACAAGAUGGAGAUCGAUGAUCUCACCAGCAACAUGGAGGCUGUUGCCAAAUCAAAGGGCAACUUGGAGAAAAUGUGCAGAACUCUUGAGGACCAGUUCAGUGAGCUCAAAGCCAAAAAUGAUGAGAAUGUUCGUCAGCUGAAUGAUGUUAAUGCACAGAAAGCAAGACUGCAGACAGAGAAUGGUGAGUUCUCCCGCCAGCUUGAGGAGAAAGAAGCUCUUGUUUCCCAGCUGACCAGGGGCAAGCAGGCCUUCACUCAGCAGAUUGAGGAGCUUAAGAGGCACAUUGAAGAGGAAGUGAAGGCCAAGAAUGCCCUGGCCCAUGCUGUUCAGUCAGCCCGCCAUGACUGUGAUCUGCUCAGAGAGCAGUUUGAGGAGGAGCAGGAGGCCAAGGCUGAGCUGCAGCGUGGAAUGUCCAAGGCCAACAGUGAGGUGGCUCAAUGGAGAGCCAAAUAUGAGACUGAUGCUAUCCAGCGCACUGAGGAGCUGGAGGAGGCCAAGAAAAAGCUUGCCCAGCGCCUGCAGGACGCUGAGGAAUCCAUUGAGGCUGUGAACUCCAAGUGUGCCUCUUUGGAGAAGACCAAGCAGAGGCUGCAGGGUGAGGUUGAGGACCUCAUGAUUGAUGUGGAGAGAGCUAAUGCUCUGGCUGCCAACCUCGACAAGAAACAGAGGAAUUUUGAUAAGGUCCUGGCAGAGUGGAAGCAGAAGUAUGAGGAGGGCCAGGCUGAGCUGGAAGGAGCCCAGAAGGAGGCUCGUUCUCUCAGCACUGAACUGUUCAAGAUGAAGAACUCUUAUGAGGAGGCUCUGGAUCACCUGGAGACCAUGAAGAGAGAGAACAAGAACCUGCAGCAGGAGAUCUCAGACCUGACUGAACAGAUUGGUGAGACUGGAAAGACUAUCCAUGAGCUGGAGAAAGCCAAGAAGAGUGCAGAGACUGAGAAGUCUGAAAUUCAGUCAGCACUGGAGGAAGCUGAGGGUACACUGGAGCAUGAGGAGGCCAAGAUUCUCCGUGUUCAGCUUGAGCUCAACCAGGUCAAAGGUGAAGUUGACAGGAAGCUGGCAGAGAAGGAUGAGGAGAUGGAGCAGAUCAAGAGGAACAGCCAGAGGGUGAUUGACUCCAUGCAGAGCACACUUGAUUCAGAAGUCAGGAGCAGGAAUGAUGCCCUGAGAGUCAAGAAGAAGAUGGAGGGAGACCUCAAUGAGAUGGAGAUUCAGCUGAGCCAUGCCAACAGGCAGGCUGCUGAGGCCCAGAAACAACUGAGGAAUGUCCAGGGACAGCUCAAGGAUGCCCAGCUGCACCUUGAUGAUGCUGUCAGAGGACAGGAGGACAUGAAGGAGCAGGUUGCCAUGGUGGAGCGCAGAAAUGGUCUGAUGCUGGCUGAGAUUGAGGAGCUGAGAGCUGCUCUGGAGCAGACAGAGAGAGGACGCAAAGUGGCUGAGCAGGAGUUGGUUGAUGCUAGUGAGCGUGUUGGACUGCUUCACUCUCAGAACACCAGUCUUAUCAACACCAAGAAGAAGCUGGAGGCUGACCUUGUGCAAGUUCAGGGUGAGGUGGAUGAUGCCGUUCAGGAAGCAAGAAAUGCUGAGGAGAAGGCCAAAAAAGCCAUCACUGAUGCUGCCAUGAUGGCAGAGGAACUGAAGAAGGAGCAGGACACCUAGUGCUCACCUGGAGAGGAUGAAGAAAAACCUGGAGGUCACAGUCAAGGACCUGCAGCACCGUCUGGAUGAGGCUGAGAACCUCGCCAUGAAGGGUGGCAAGAAGCAGCUCCAGAAACUGGAGUCCAGGGUGCGUGAGCUGGAAGCUGAAGUUGAAGCCGAGCAGAGACGUGGAGCUGAUGCUGUUAAAGGUGUCCGCAAAUAUGAGAGGAGAGUGAAGGAGCUGACCUACCAGACUGAGGAGGACAAGAAGAAUCUGAUCAGACUUCAGGAUCUGGUGGACAAGCUGCAGCUCAAAGUCAAGUCUUACAAGAGACAGGCUGAAGAGGCUGAGGAGCAGGCCAACACUCACAUGUCCAGACUCAGGAAGGUCCAGCAUGAGAUGGAGGAAGCUCAGGAGCGCGCCGACAUCGCUGAGUCCCAGGUCAACAAGCUCAGAGCCAAGAGCCGUGAAGUUGGAAAGUCUGAGUCUGCUGAGUAAAAGUCAUUAUCCAGCUGGGGCCUUUCAACAGAAUUCAUAAAAUAUGAACUCGUGGUUGGGGGCUAUUUAAUUUUUCAAUAAAGCUCAUGAUUGUCAUCACUA